rnacentral:tRNA from 1 species
GCGGAAGUGGCGGAAUAGGUAGACGCACCAGAUUUAGGUUCUGGCAAUUUAAGAUUAUGAUAUUAUACGAGUUCAAGUCUCGUCUUCCGCA